GGAAAACAAUCGAUCCUCGUAUUGUUAUGCCGCCUUUUCGUGUCUAAACGCGACUAAUGGGUUGUUUCGGAGAACAGCUAAAUUCUGAAUGAUAUUUCCCAGCGCAAAGUUGCAGGUGGAGAGACGCAGGCGUGUGCUUGGGCAGAGCUCGCUGGGCCAGGGGUCGCCCUGACUCCAGAGCAGCUCGCGCGGUGCGGCCGUCUGCGUGUAGAGGGCAGCCAUGCAGCAGCGAGGUGCGGUGCUGAUGCAGUCGAGGGCGGGCUUGCUGCAGCCCGUCAGGCUGGAUCCAAAGAAGCAGCGAGAAUUCGGAUCAACAGCCACCAAGCCGCCACAGCUCUCCAGGACAGCCGAGAGCAGGCAAAUGGGUCCACCGAGGCGGAUGGCGGAGCAGCAACCGGUGGGUGACCCAGGCCUUCAGGCUGGGGACAGACCGCAGCCGCGCAGGGCUCCGGCGCAGGACAAGAGACAGAUCCAGAAGGAACUCCAGGAAGCGCAGAGGCCCGAACUGGGUGGAGCGGGCGGCAUCGGACGUGCACGUGGGGCCCCACAACGGCCGGCUUUCGUGCCCAUAGGUCGCCACCCGGCGGAGAUGGCUCGCCUACCCCAGGGCCAGGGGCCGCCGGGUCCAUUCAUGCUCCCGCCGCACCUCCACGGUGGCUACUUCUUCCCCGGCCCGCCGAAGCACUUCAGCAGUAAGAGCAGCGAACCACCAGACAAGGUGCGGCAGGGCGCCCCAACUCCGUACGGGCCGCGGAGAGCCGUCGGUGCGAUGGCUCAUCUCGUCACGCCUGUGAGAGUCAGCUCGGGCCCAACUGGCAUUUCACCGAGGGACGUCCACAUGCAUUCACCGAGAACUCACGCAAAUUCGCCGCCCGUCACACCUCGAGGCUUCAAAGAAGAGAAAGCGUCACCGCGAUUCUCUUCGGACGCCGAGAAAACGCCCCGCGCUCCUAUUGGGAAGCAGGAAGGUGGCGGGAAAGCAAGCCCGCGUGUUUCAGCAGUGGUGGCGAACACGAAUUCUACCAGAAGGGCAUUAGCACAAGGAGACGCUGCGGCAGCAACCGAACGCGGGAGAAAUAUUGCGAAAGACCCAGGCGACGAGAGAUUACUAAGGAACCUGAACCUCAAAAUGGCAGAAACCAAAAGUGGAAAGAUACCGGAGAGGGGAAAGUGUCAAACCAGCACUGGUGCACCAGUAUCAGAACUGAACAAGACUAUGAACGAUGUGGCGUCUGGCCGGGGACGUGGCAACCCCGCAGAGCUGAUGCAGCACAGGAAUCCGUAUAUGGCAGGAGGCGGGGCUAUCUACCAGAUGGAGAGGAAGGCACAGUUUGGCAGGGGUGCGAUGGUGGGACCUCCGUUUAGAGAUCCAGAAGGGGUCGGCCUAGAGUCGUACGGUGCAAAGCCAGCGCAUUUUCAUGGCCACAGUAUCCCAGGUCUACCACAGCAACAAAUGCCGACAAUGCCUCCGACAGGACUGGUACCAAUGUCUUCACCAAAGAUAAACACAACCAGGGCUGCAACGGAUACCUCCCGAAUGGCCUCGCAGAAGAAGCCUCCUACACCUGUAGCGAAGAAGACAGACUCUCCACCAAAGUCGCCAGCGCUUUUCUCACCGACGCUUCUCAUAGCGUCACCAGCGACUUCAGCAAUGAAUUCGCCGAGGCCAUCACUGGUGACAACGCGCAACACACCUUCAAAAAACACUGUUUCAGGGAAAAUAAAAAAUGCUUCAAAAGCCUCUCCAGGAAACUCACCGAAGUCACCAUCACCGAGGAACUCGCCGGCGAGGACAUACGUAAUCACACGAAAGCAUUCGCCAACACCGCUAUCGGUACCUUCGCGUAAAAAGGCUCAGGCGACUGCGCCUGCAAACGUAUCGAAGAAGUUACAGAUAGAUUCUCCAGCGCCUCAGACUACAACCGCCACAACAGGUAAGGACACAAAGGGAAGGUUUCAGAAUCCCAAAUCACGUUUGUCUGCAGGUGGAGAUCUCCAAACUGCCAAAGAAAGACCUGCUGCGUCUCCCUCUGCUGUAGCGCCCACAGCUCAGAAUCAGCCAUCUAAGGAGACGGACGAGUCUGACUAUCAGGCAAAGGAACUGUCAGAUUUGAACAAGGAAGAACAGCUCACCAAAACAUCGCCACGUAUUAGAAAGCUGACGAGAACGAGCUUGCAGCCUGUAAAAAACCCGUCGACCCCCAGAUCUGCCGUUUCGGACCACUUACCAGACGAAGAGGAGGGAGAGAGCGGAAACACAACGGCAAAGCAGCCUGAAGGUACUCCGCGGAAAAACAGCGCUGGCGAUGGGAACAAGAACUUGCUGACUCCUGUAAAAAACCGAAAAGGGGCCGCCACUGGAACCGCCCACACUGAAGGGCUGCGGGAGCCGCCGCGCGGAAGGGCAUCUGCCUUGAGACACAAGCGAGGGCAACGCGCUGGGAAGGAGUCUGUGGACGUGGCCGCCGCUCUUCCGGACACCUCCGGUAACUACACCUCGGCAGUGCACCAGUGGCUGCGCCAGAGUCACUAUAAGGUCAUCUCUCCGCAGCAGUAUAGGCAGCACGAGACGAUCGAAGAGGAGACUAUGAAGCAACCAGGGAUGACUGAGAAGAUGAUGGCCUUCCGGGAUGAGCGGCCAAUGAAGGCGGCAGUUCCAGAGCCGGAGAAGGCGCCACCCCCACCUCCACCCGAGAAGGGCGGCCGCAAAGGGCGCGUGGUGGCAACCAGAUGUGGAGACGCCCCCCGGUCCCUCAGCCCUCUCUCUGCGACGUACCAGCCGAACGCCAACUCUACUCGGCCUCUACGCAGGGCUCCGCUCUCGCUUCUGCUGAAGCAGAAGGACAUGGUGGUGAUGCAGAAGCCGGCGGCGGCGCCCGCGGGCCGCGCCAGCAAGAAGGCGCCCAAGACGGCGGCUUCCAGCACGGAGACCGGCAAGCGGAAGGCGGGGGCGAAGCGGGGGACCGCCAAAGUCCGCGGCACGCGCCGCAAGAAGGAGAGGGAGUCGCGGUCCGGGGCCAAGCUGGCGCCCUCCGCAUGCCCCGGGCUGCGGCCAAAGGUGGGCCCCGCGGGCGAUAGCGGAGACCUCUCCUCCAGCUCCGAGGACAGCAGCUACCUCUCCGCCUCGGACGAAGGAGUAAACGAACCGUCCGCCAUGUGCUGAGCGCCACGUCACCCACGUAAAACGGAGGAAGAAAGGAAGGAGUGAUCACCUCUGCUGUCCUUGCUCAUGUGCUGCUGUAAAAUUAUACUUGUGCCACGUGACUUAGGUCCACCAUGUCCAUGUCCAACGUGGCUUGUCUGAUGCCAAGGAAGCGAAGACACUGGGAACUUGGGUAACAGCAGUAGCCUGAGACAGAGGAGGCACUUUCUGGCAGCAGUCCUUUGUCGAGAUGAGAGCAUUGGCAGGCGCUGUAGGAGACGACAGAUGGCGUAUGUUUCCAAGAUGCCACCGAACUGUAUUGCCUAGGGUGCAGGUGACAGCACUGAUUCGCUGAGGCAGCAGAAAACUUGUGCACCGAUAUGGUUUUAUUGUUUAUGUAUGUAACAUAAUGAAGAUACAUUAUUGAAGGUAGUUUGUCAUUUA